GACGAACGCUGGCGGCGUGCUUAACACAUGCAAGUCGAACGGAAAGGCCCUGCUUUUGUGGGGUGCUCGAGUGGCGAACGGGUGAGUAACACGGGAGUAACCUGCCCUUGACUUUGGGAUAACUGCAGGAAACUGGGGCUAAUACCGGAUAGGAGCUCCUGCUGCAUGGUGGGGGUUGGAAAGUUUCGGCGGUUGGGGAUGGACUCGCGGCUUAUCAGCUUGUUGGUGGGGUAGUGGCUUACCAAGGCUUUGACGGGUAGCCGGCCUGAGAGGGUGACCGGCCACAUUGGGACUGAGAUACGGCCCAGACUCCUACGGGAGGCAGCAGUGGGGAAUAUUGCACAAUGGGCGGAAGCCUGAUGCAGCAACGCCGCGUGCGGGAUGACGGCCUUCGGGUUGUAAACCGCUUUCGCCUGUGACGAAGCGUGAGUGACGGUAAUGGGUAAAGAAGCACCGGCUAACUACGUG
rnacentral:rRNA from 1 species